UCCCUGAGGGAACCAUGCCAGCAAAGUGGGGCACUAUUCCUUUCAAGGAGUUAUAGAGAGCGAGAAGGUCUUUCCUCCAGGCUGAGCCCUCCUCUAGCUCCCUAAGCCACUCCUCAUCAGAAUCGCGCUCCAGACCCUUCCCCAGGGGAUCCCUUCCAGCUGCUGAAGCACAACUCCCGCAAAGUUUCGCCAGCAGAAAACGCUUCUUGUCCCCGACCUUGGGGGAUAUACUGUGCGAAACUGAAAGAGUUUUUCCGUGUGGCUGCCCUGCAAAAGGGGAAGGAACCAUUUUUCAGGCACAACCGAAGAAAGCUGGAAGCCGCUGAUCUGCCUGCGCGAGCCGAAGCGGCGGCUAGUCAGAGACAGUUCCCUGCACGGCCGGGGAACGUCAGGGACAGCUUCCCCGCCAUUCCCUGCACGGCCGGGGGAGGUCAGACUCGAGUCUCCCGGACUCGCCCGCACGGCACCGGUCCCGCCCCGCCCGGGCCGUGUGUGCCCGGCGCGGGCCCCGCCCCGGCGCCGUUCCCAGGAAGCGGGAGCAGGAAGCUGUGGCGGGCGCGGGGAUGGCGGGCAGCGGCCUGGCGUGUAAAGGCCAUUGCCAUGGACCUCAUCGACCUCACAUGCACAACAAUCACAGCACCCACGGGGAUAAAGGUUUACCAGGACCAUAUCCCAUUGUUGAAGACCCCAGCACCUGUGAUAUUGUCAAGGCUACACAGUAUGGAAUGCUAGAGCGAUGCAGAGAACUGGUAGAAGCAGGAUAUGAUGUUCGACAACCAGACAAAGAAAAUGUGACUCUUCUUCACUGGGCAGCAAUAAACAACAGACAGGAGCUGGUUAAAUAUUAUAUUUCCAAAGGUGCGAUAGUGGAUCAGCUGGGUGGAGAUUUGAAUUCUACUCCCCUUCACUGGGCCAUUAGACAAGGACACCUACCCAUGGUCAUAUUAUUGUUGAAAUGUGGAGCGGAUCCCAGUCUUAUUGAUGGGGAAGGAUUCAGUAGCAUUCAUUUAGCAGUGCUCUUCCAACACAUGCCCAUCAUAGCUUACCUCAUAUCAAAAGGCCAGAACAUAGACACAACAGACUUCAAUGGACAAACACCUUUAAUGUUAACAGCACAAAAAGCCAUUGGACUGGAACCCACGAGGUUUCUCUUAAAGUUUAACCCCUCUCUCAAUGCUGUAGACAAUGUUCAAAAGAAUACUGCACUGCAUUGGGCAAUAUCAUCAGGAAAUAUCAGUGCAGUGGAUCUGUUGCUGGAAGCUGGUGCCAGCCUCGACAUAAAAAAUGUCAAGGGAGAGACACCACUUGACCUUGCUUAUCAAAGUCAGAAUCACUUCAUGGUUUAUAUGAUGAAAGAGGAAGAAAGAAUGAGAAGCAGGAAAAAUAACAGGUUGCUGAAAAUAGUCGAGAAAUAUGAGCUCUUCCUGAUGUUGGCAUCUUCCUUGACAUUCAUGUGGACCAUAGGAUACGUCGUGAACUUAAGUUCUGAUUCUUGGCUUUUGAAAGGAUGUUUGCUUCUCUGCCUGCUAUUUGGGAUGACACUGUUUGUCAGGCAAUUCGUGGGGCUCAAGAAUCUAAGGUAUCUUCCCACAGCAUUUCUGCUAAGUUCAGUUUUUUGGAUGUCCAUGACCUGGUUUUUCUGGUUCCUGCCCGAUAUAACAAAUAUAAUUCUUGAAAUCACUGUCAUGUUCAGCAUGAUGGGUCUUCUUUAUUAUUUCUAUAAAACUUGGAGUACUGAUCCUGGAUAUAUAAAGACUUCAGAAGAAGAAAGAAAAGAGAACAUUGUAGGUCUUGCAGAAGCAGGUUGCUUGGACUUCAGAACAUUCUGUACAUCGUGUCUUGUAAGGAAGCCUUUGAGAUCUGUGCAUUGCCUUGCUUGCCAAGCAUGUGUAGCCAGAUAUGAUCAGCAUUCUCUGUGGACUGGACAGUGCAUAGUGGCGUACAGGAGAAAGUUGAGAGAGAUCAGCCUUGUCAAACUCUCUUGUGGAUGGCAGAGGUAUUGGGAACCAUUGUUAUUACCUGUUGUUCCUGACUUUCCUAACAAUGACAGGUGUCUGGCUGCUCUAUGGAACUCUUCUGUAUUGGUCCAACCAUUGUCCAACAAGUUACCACCAGGAUGGAACAUGGACAUACUUCACACAGGUCAUGUACUGCUCUCCCUGGGUUUCCUACAUCUCUGCAGUUGCCUGUUUCCACACUGUUUGGGCCUCCUUGUGGCUCACUGUUCAGUUUUAUCAGAUUGCAUUCUUGGGGCUGACCUCUCAUGAAAGAAUGAAUCUCCUGAUACAGAGAAAAUCUUCUAAGCAUCCUGUUUCACUCAGGAGAACUCCAUACAAUCUUGGAUGCUUCCAGAAUCUUGCAGACUUUUUUCAGUGCAGUUGCUUUGGUGUGUUCAAACCCAGCAUAAUUGACUGGACCAAGCAAUACAAUGUUUUUCAUCUGGCAAAGGAGAAAAACGUUCAUUCUGUGUAAAGUUUUGUUUAAUUUCUAAAAUGGUUGAGCUGAAAGCUAAAUAAAACUGUAUAUUUUGUUAAUUUUUCCAACUUCUUCUGAAGUUACUUGGUUUUAUUAUUGUUUCAAAUGUUAAACUUUAUCUUGCAUAAGCUACAGCAGGUUUGUAUAUGGAGCAGUCAUUGUGUGUCUGUGUGUAUAUGUAGUUUGAGCUGAAACUAUUUAAAAUUUUAUGUGAUGAGAGGACACUAAGAAUAUAUUUUUUAAAAGUAAGUUUUUAGGGCAGAAUUUCAAAACCACAUUGGUACCCUCUGCUUUAUCCUUGCAGAUAAUAAGACAAUUACAUUUGAAAAUUAAUGUUCAUAUUUUAAAACUUCAUGUUAUGGUUAUAUUGUAAUUUUGUUUCUUAUGCUGUGAAAACCUCCAUUAAGUCUUUGUAUUUGAAAGGUUUGCAUGUAAUAAAAUAGAGCUUUCAUACUUCUAA